CCCUAUGGGGUGCAGCAGGCGGUUAGCUUCUUCGAGCUCGUCAACGCUGAUAUCGUCUCCCAGGCGGUUGGUGGCAUGCGCUUCCAGGAGAGUAGAGAGUUGACUUUCCACCUGCGCAAGCGCGUCAUCGCUUGGGGAAGGGUUUGAUAAAACACUAAGUGCCUUUUCAAUGAGAUCGUUAAUCAUUGAGGUCCUUUCAGGUUAAGGCAAGCCUAUGGCUAUUGCCUUUUGUUGUAUAGAAACAUGAGCUUGUCUUUCAUCUCCGUGGGAGUCUGAAAGCGUCCGUCCAAUGCGCUUUCGAGGAAGCUCAUUUCAUCCGCGUUAAGUCGAUUUUGGACAUCGAACGAAUAGGAAGCUUUGUAGUGGGUUGAGGAAUUGGCGGGGGGGC
rnacentral:rRNA from 1 species